GAUCAUGGCUCAGGACGAACGCUGGCGGCGUGCCUAACACAUGCAAGUCGAACGGAACUGUUUUGAAAGAUUUCUUCGGAAUGAAUUUGAUUUAGUUUAGUGGCGGACGGGUGAGUAACGCGUGAGUAACCUGCCUUCAGGGAGGGGGAUAACAUUCUGAAAAGAAUGCUAAUACCGCAUGAUAUAUCGGAACCACAUGGUUCUGAUAUCAAAGAUUUUAUCGCUUGAAGAUGGACUCGCGUCCG
rnacentral:rRNA from 1 species